CAGCAGGCUUCAAAUCUGAAGUGGGCUUCACAUCCUCAGCG
rnacentral:tRNA from 10 species